GAACUCAACACCGCCGGGUUUCCGGCGGCGUUGGAUUUGGGCGCUGGCCUGCGGGCCUCGCCUCAAAGGUGUUAGUGGGUCUUGCCUCGACGUUUUAAGCACUCGUCCCCCGGCGGCCCUCUCACAAAGCCCCCCUUCAUUUUGA
rnacentral:misc_RNA from 1 species